ACAAGUCAGAUUUGAUCAUCCUCUGCAUAGACCCAACCGAAGUAUCUCCACUUCAUCUUCUUCCCCUACAAUGACACAACCCCACUUCAUUGUGAUAACCUAUCCGGCACAAGGCCACAUCAACCCUUCUCUCCAACUGGCUAAGCGCCUCAUACGUGUUGGUGCCCAUGUCACAUUCGUCACUAGCACCUAUGCCAGUGAGCGCAUGGCCAAAACCCCAACCAUGGAUGGGUUAAAAUUCGUCACAUUCCCGGAUGGCUGCGACAGUGGCCUCAAGCAAAGCGAUGCCCUCCAAGGCUUCAUGUCUGAGCUUGAGCGUCUUGGCUCCCAAGCUCUUACCGACCUCCUCAUAGCCAGCGCUAAUGAAGGUCGUCCCGUUGCUUGCAUAAUCUACGGCAUCCUGAUUCCUUGGGUAGCAGAGGUGGCGCAUAGUCUUCACAUCCCCUCCGCACUUUUUUGGAGUCAACCUGUCUCUGUUUUUAAUAUCUAUUAUUAUUAUUUUUGUGGCUAUGGAGAGCUCAUUCGCAAGAAAGUCCGUGACUCCUCGCCUUCCAUUGAAUUACCAGGACUGCCCUUGCUCAGUAGCCGUGACAUUCCCUGUUUCCUACUCCCCUCAAAUGCAAAUGAAUACAACUUCGUCCUUUCAGCGUUUGAGAAGCACCUAGAGAUGCUCCACCGUGAUACCAACCCAACGGUACUGAUAAACACUUUCGAUGCAUUGGAACCAGAGGCCCUAAGGGCCGUCAGUAAGUUUAAGUCGAUUGGAGUUGGACCCUUGUUUCCAACCGCUUUCUUGGGUGGAAAAGAUCCAUCCGAUACUUCAUUUGGAGGUGAUCUUUUCCGUCGUUCAAAGGAUUAUAUUGAAUGGCUGAACUCAAAGCCUGAAUCUUCUGUCAUUUACGUGUCAUUUGGAAGCCUAGCGGUGUUAUCGAAGCAACAGUCUGAGGAGAUUGCUCGUGGAUUGCUGGACAGUGGCCGGCCUUUCCUGUGGGUCAUAAGAGCCAAGGAGAAGGGAGAAGAAGAGAAAGAAGAAGAUAAACUAAGUUGCUACGCAGAAUUAGAACAACAAGGGAUGAUAGUACCAUGGUGUUCUCAGGUUGAGGUUCUCUCAAAUCCAUCACUGGGUUGUUUCGUGACUCAUUGUGGGUGGAAUUCAACCUUGGAGAGCUUGGCUUCUGGGGUGCCAGUUGUGGCAUUUCCUCAGUGGACCGACCAAUCCACGAAUGCAAAGCUAGCCGAAGACGUGUGGAAAACGGGUGUACGGGUGACCGUGAACCAAGAAGGAAUAGUUGAAAGCGAUGAGAUUAAGAGGUGCUUGGAAUUGGUCAUGGGAGAUGGAGAGGAGGCGAAAGAAAUGAGAAGGAAUGCAAAGAAAUGGAAGGGUUUGGCAAGGGAGGCUGUGAUGGAAGGUGGAUCAUCUGACAAGAAUCUUAAGAAUUUUAUGGAUGAGGUCAUACAAGGUUACUAGCUAGAUAUUGUGGUUGUAUCUCUUGGAGUUUAUGUUAAGACUCCCCGAUUAAUUUAAAUAUUUUACAAGAAGAUUUUUAUUAUUUAUGAUGUUAAUACAAGUAGUAGUAUUAAUUAAUGGUAGAGGGCAUAUCUAAAAUUAUGGGAGAUUCAUUGCUUCCUGAAGGCCCUAUCACAAAGGAUCUGUCAAAUGCGUGGCUAAGGUGCUGUUUGGUAAAUGUCCGUUACCAGCCAAAAUUUUGCAAUUAUUGCUAAUGGGAAUCAGGGAAACCCCAAACUGGCCUUGAUGGUCCUUGCGUAAAGACCCAUCCAAUUCUUUACAUUGUGGCCACUGAUUUGGUGUCUUAUCCUCUCAUGCCCAUCACUUCAUGUUUACAAAUUGAUAUUGUAUUCAUAGCUAUUUUUGAUGAAGGUUCAAUUGGCAAGAAGUAUUUUUGCCUUGGGAAGAUGUUGGUUAUGGAUUCAAAGCAAAAUAACAGAUUAAAAAAAUGAUCCUUGUACAAAUUUUUGGGUGCCUCUAUUAAUUAAGUGAAUAUUAUUAUUUAAUUGAUAAAUUAAUAAUUUAUUAAUUUAAUUACUUAUUAAUUAAAUCUCUGGAAUAAUUCUAUUAUGGAACCUAUCUUGCACUAAGAAGCAUCCAUAGCGAUAAUAAUAUUAAAUAAAUUUUUGUUAUAGUACGAGAAUGUUACAUCAGACCUUUUUUUUUUUUUUUUUUUUUUCAUAUUAGGAAUAGUUGAAGAUGAGAUUCAAGUAAACAUCAGUUUUAAGAAGAAAUAACACAUAUAUUUUAAGAAGGAUUCUUGAUAAAACAUAUGAAUUUAAUUACACAUUAGAAAAUUAUUAAUUUCUAUAAUAUGUGGAUUUUAUAUGAAACUACAUAGAUUUUUUAUUUUAUAAAUUUAUCAAAUUAUUAGUUUAGCACGGUGGCCCCAAGUUUAGAUUAAUUAAAAAAAAUUAAUUGAAGUUCUUAAUUAAUUAAAUAUUAAAUUAUUAUAAAGUUUUAUUGUAUUUUAUUUUCAUGGUUCUAAAAAUUGGAUUGAACUAGUCGAUUUGAUUGGUUUGAGCAUUGAUUGACUAUGUAUUUUACAUAUGAGAUCGAUUAUGAGUUGCACUUUCAUCCCAAGGUAUUUUAAAAUUAGGAAAAUCAAUCCCAAGGUAUCUAUUUUUCUUUUCUUAGUCUAUUCACUAUUGUCCAAACACUCCAUAUGUGGAAUGUGGAAUGUAACUUGGAGGGGCUUGAAUAUGCAGAGUUUUAUAACUUUGCACAUUAAUGUCUCAAAGUGUUAAAAUCUUUUACAACUAAUUGUAGAUAAGUUUAGUAUUGACAAAUAAUUUUAUUACAAUUAAAUAAAAUAUUAGAAUUUUUUUAUUAUCCUACUAAUUUUAUGACAAUCAAAUUUAUACAAAAGUAAUUCUUGGUGUCUCGUGUUACUAAAAACAGAAACUCACUUAAGAACUCAUCACGCCUUUGGUGGAGAAAGAUACUUCAUGGGAUGCUAGUAUUAAUUCUCAAGCAGUGGACCUAGGUGAGAGUAAGAAGAAAACCAAAAUAGUAGAACACUCAUCUAAAUUGUCCCAAAAAAAUGGAGGACAAAAUUCCCAAGAAAGUUCAAUAAACAAGUACAAGAAAAGCCAUGAAAGCCCAUUAUUUUUGGAAACAAUGUCAAAUAUUGAAGAAAUUGUCAAAGCAAAAUAUUGAACUUUCAACUUUAGGCACUUAAACAUACUAAUAAGGGGGGGAAUGAACAUAUUACAUAUGACAGUCCUUUAUCGUCGUAUUGACUUUUUUGAUAUGGUGGUAAAGUAUGAAGUGCUUGCAAGAGGGCUAUUAUCAUAUAUGGAAAAUGAUGAGAAAUCCAUACUAUAUAUGGUGAGCUAGAAAAGAAAAAGGCAAGCUAGUGAAAAGAUGCAAAGCCUUGCACUCUAGUUACAAGACGAGUUGCUUUUGUUUGAGGUGCACUUCUACUCACCCAUUAGCCAUAAAUGUAUGCAUUAUUCACAUGCAUUCACUUGGGUCAAGCAUUUUAAUUGUUCAUCUUCAUUACCAAAAAGAAUAAGUUAUUAGCUAGCUAGGUGAUAGAUGAGAAAUAUGUAUCAAGUUAGAAAAAUGCUAAGUUACAUAAUAGGUAUCACACUGAAUUCUAAAUUUGAGCUACUAAUGUGUGGAACAAAACAUGGAUUGUAAAAUACCAAUACUAAAAGAUGAGACUUAGAUAUAAAGAAAUAAAAUAAAAUAAAGUAGAAAAAAAAUAUAAUCUUAGUAUAAUUAAUAAAUAGAAACUUGUUAGAUGCAUGAACAAAAAAGAUCAUUUUUCCACAUAUAUUGACUUUUUGUCAGCUAUCCCUUUUUUUUAUGAGGUAUGGAAAGCAAUUUCCCUAUCAUAGAAUGAUUAAUAAAUGCAUGGGAAAAUAAUUGAACACAUUAAUGAGAUUCAAAUUCAAGAUUCAUAAGCCAAGGUACCUAUUAAAAGCUGCUAGUUGACCUAUAAGUUUAAGCUGAUAGAAAAAUAAUGAUAUCAAGCUUACCAGGAUUAGAUGAAGGGAUUAUAAAAAAGAUAAAAAUAAAAUUAUUGUGUGCAUUCCAAGAAUAGCGACUUGUGAUUGUAUGAGUGGGUGCAAAAAGUGAAGUUAGCCUAUAAGAUUCAUUUCUCCAAUCCUCUCAACAAAGACCACUAGACUGCUAAAGAAUUAUUUGCUACUACAAAUGAGCAACUCCAUCAAGAAGCUAAGGAAUGGCUAAUGCUUACCAUAGAGAAUUGCACCACUCUUUCUAUUUUCAUAGCCACUGUUGCCUUUGCUACAACCUACAUGGUACCAGAGUAAAAAACUUAGAGAUAUGAAGAAAAGAAGAGAUGCGGAGCACCUAUUUGAGAGAAAAUCGGAGAGAUAAAAACUAAAAAAAUUGAACAACUUAGUAUCAUUGAUAAGAACUUUGUUUCUUAUAUACAAAUAUUCAGAAAUUAGUUACAAACAACUGAUUACUACUCAAAAAGUGCUAUUUGAUAGCUUAUAAUUAAUCCUUUUAAACACUUUUGAGUAGUAGUUUUGGCCUUUUAACUCAAUUGGCAUGUUAAGGACCCUUGAAAGCAAUUUUAAUCACUUUGUGUAAGUUUUGGUGUUUUUGUUAGUAUUUUGAUCACCAAAGCAAUUCAAGAUUGAGGAGAAUUUUGAGGAAUCUUGGGCAAAGAUUGGAAGUCAUUUGCCAAGAGUAAAUCCGAAGUGCAAGGAGAAAAAGUAAAGAGAAUCUGCCAUGAAGCAUAUUCUUGAUGACAGUCGUGGCAGCCACUUUUGGAGCACUUUCUGAAGUCCAAUUGAUGCAUGCUAUAUACCAUUUCAAAGAUCAGGAAGUCAACAAUCUAAUGCUUCAAACGGUGCACAAUUCGGAGUUGAAACGAAGAAGUUGCAGCCAUUGCAAGCCAAUCACUCCAAGCUGAAGGAAGCAUUUUCCAAAGUGUUGCGAAAUCACCCUUUUGUUGCGAAGUGAUUUCGCAGCAUUUUUGUACAGUAUGGUGUAUUUCCUCCUGAAGUUGCCCGAUAUAUGCCGCAAGCUGGAAGCUGAGAGCAUCAAGGUAGAAGCCAACUUCGCAGCCCUGCGAAGAUAGCAUGUUGUUGCGAAAUGAUUUCGCAGCCCUUCUUGAGUGUCUGCGAAAUCUCGCAGACACCAUUUUCUCUUGCGGAAUGGUUCCUGGAGCAUCCCGAUAUUUGCUACCGACAUUGGGAGAUAUUUUACAUCAGAUUUUUGUUGUCUAAAUCCCAAAAUACUCCUUGUAAGCCACCAAUUACAAGAUUCCUUAGCUUUAAGUUAGUAAAAAGAGAAAAUAUCUAUGUAAUAAUUAGUUUUAUAUUAUGUUCAUAUAAAUACCUCUCGGGAGCCUGUUCUCAGAGAGAGCCUUUUGUAAAGUUUUAGGUAAGCAAGUAAAGUUCAGUUCUUUGUAUUACCUUACCUUCUCACUUUGUAUAUUUUAUUUUCUUACUAAGUUAUGAACUCUCUGAGGAGUUUUCCCCAGAGAAUGAGUAACUAAACCUCUAAUUCCUUGGAGCUAAGGUUGCCGGGGAAGGUUCCAAGUGCAAGAAUGCAAAGCUUUGUGGUUUUAGCUAGUAAUGAAGAGGAAGUGAAAUCCUUUAGUGAUUUCUAUGUUUUUAGUUAACUUAAAACACCUUAGAGUCAUCUGGGCCAACACUUGGUAAGGCAAGUGAUUUCCAACCAUGGAAAUGCACUAGUUUACCCUUUGCGAGCCUCUGGAAGGUGACUUUAGGGUAGGAUUUUCUAGAAUAGCCAACACUUGGUAAGCUUUUGGACUCCAAGGAGACAUCCAUUAGUUAUCUCUUGCGAGCUUUUGAAGGGAAGUCCAAGGUUAAAGAUCAUCUUGAAUGGUAAGUGCUCGUGAGAGGCAUGAACCAUUGCAAGUUGUAUCAAUGAGAGAAUUAAAGUUGAAAUCCAAUUAAAGGAUGUAUCUGUACAACACCGGUUAGAGAAUUGACUAUAUGUUGAAUCUCUAACGCGAGGAAAGGAACCAUCUGACCGGAGCUAUGUCUUUUGCAUGAGGAACCACCCCAGUGAACCUAACUCUCCAAGGAAUGCUUUUCUUCCUAAGUUAUUCCGAGUACUUGUUAUGUUAGUUAGUUUAAAUCUUUACCAAUCAAAGUUUGUGUUUUAUUUCUUAAGCUAACCUUGAAAUGAAACAAGACCAAUUCACUUGGAAUUGGUAUCAUUGAUAGCUUGCUAAUCCUUCCCAGUGAACGAUCCUAGAGCCGUUAUACUAUAGUAGCUUUUUCUUUGCUACCCUAGUAUAUGGUGUUAUAGGUUAUAAAUUUUGUUGAUUACUCCCUCUAUCAAGGAGCACCAGUUGGACACGAAUCAGCUGAGACACCAAUUGGGCACGAAUCAAAUGGCGCCGUUGCCGGGGAAUGUGUCAAUUUUAUAGCGAUACCAUUUUUUAGCACUUGUGAUUGUCAUCACAAGUUUGGUAACGUUUCUUUCACUUUACUAAUUCUCAUUCUUUCUUUAUUUAUUCAUAAUCCAAGUUUAUCUUUUAAAUUCAGCUUAGUUUAAUUUUGUUUUUCGUAGCCCUGUUUUCUUUUGUUGUCCUUUAUUUUCAUUUUAGUUGCAGAUAGAUACUAGUUGUGUAUGCCAAAUUGGAUACGAGACAGUGGAGGAAGACUUGUUAAGUGUGAUACACCUCAUAACAAAGAAUUUGAGUUGAGCUUGAAUAUCAUGGAAACUACACCUGAAGAUCAGCAUAGUCACCAAGGUCGUCAAGACAAUCUCAAUGAAUUCAGAUCAAUGAGGGACCGUAUGCAUCCACCUCGUAUGAGUGCACCAUCAUGUAUAGUGCCCCCUACAGAGCAGCUAGUGAUCAGACCGUAUCUCGUUCCACUUCUACCAACUUUCCAUGGGAUGGAAAGUGAGAAUCCGUAUGCAUACAUCAAGGAAUUUGAAGAUGUUUGUAAUACAUUCCAAGAGGGAGGAGCUUCAAUUGAUUUGAUGAGGCUUAAGUUAUUUUCUUUUACUUUAAAGGAUAAAGCCAAAAUUUGGCUUAAUUCUUUAAGGCCAAGGAGUAUCCGUUCUUGGACUGACUUACAAGCUGAAUUCCUCAAGAAAUUUUUUCCCACUCAUAGAACAAAUGGCUUGAAAAGGCAAAUUUCAAACUUCUCAGCUAAAGAGAAUGAGAAAUUCUAUGAGUGUUGGGAAAGAUACAUGGAAGCUAUAAAUGCUUGUCUUCACCAUGGCUUUGAUACUUGGCUAUUGGUGAGUUAUUUUUAUGAUGGUAUGUCCUCCUCAAUGAAGCAACUCCUCGAGACAAUGUGUGGAGGAGAUUUCAUGAGUAAAAAUCCAGAGGAAGCUAUGGAUUUCUUGAGCUAUGUAGCUGAUGUUUCAAGGGGAUGGGAUGAACCAACCAAAGGAGAAGUGGGGAAGAUGAAGUCUCAACUGAGUGCUUUCAAUGCAAAGGCUGGGAUGUAUACCUUGAAAGAAGAUGAUGAUAUGAAAGCAAAAUUGGCAGCUAUGACAAGAAGAUUGGAGGAGCUGGAGCUGAAAAGAAUACAUGAAGUGCAAGCUGUUGCUGAAGCACCAGUGCAAGUGAAGCUGUGUCCCAAUUGUCAAUCAUAUGAACAUUUGGUGGAGGAAUGCCCUACAAUUUCAGCUGAAAGGGAGAUGUUUAAAGAUCAAGCAAAUGUUGUUGGACAAUUCAGGCCCAAUAACAAUGCGCCUUAUGGAUAUACCUACAACUCAAGUUGGAGGAAUCAUCCAAAUUUCUCAUGGAAGGCCAGAGCAACUCAAUACCAACAGCCGGAUCCACCACCUCAACAAACUUCAAGUCUUGAUCAAGCAAUGGCUAAUCUCAGCAAGGUAGUGGGAGAUUUUGUUGGAAAGCAAGAAGCCACCAAUGCUCAAAUCUAUCAAAGAAUUGAUAGAGUAGAGAGUAUGUUGAAUAAUAUGAUGGAUGGAAUGCAAAAUGAUAUGAACCAAAAGUUUGAUAACAUCCAAUAUUCAAUUUCAAGGCUUACAAAUUUGAAUACACUGCAAGAAAAGGGAAGAUUUCCUUCUCAACCCCACCAAAACCCCAAAGGUGUCCAUGAAGUGGAAAGCUAAGAGGGAGAAUCAUCACAGAUGAAAGAUGUCAAAGCCUUGAUCACUCUAAGGAGUGGUAAAAAAAUUGAGCAGCCAACACCCAAGCCACAUGUUGAGAAAGAAGAAGAAAUAAAGAAAGGGAAGGAAAUGAAAGAUAAAGACAGUGAGGUCAGUGAAGAAAAGAAGGACUCUGAUUCAACAAUGAAUGCAAUUCCAGAGAAGGAACUUAUGAAGGAAGAAAUGCUGAAGAAAUCAACUUCUCCACCUUUUCCUCAAGCAUUACAUGGGAAAAAGGGGGUUAGAAAUGCAGCUGAAAUCCUUGAAGUAUUGAGACAAGUGAAAGUCAAUAUUCCACUGCUGGAUAUGAUUAAACAAGUUCCAACGUAUGCAAAAUUCCUAAAGGAUUUAUGUACUAUCAAAAGAGGGUUGACUGUAAACAAGAAAGCCUUAUUGACUGAGCAAGUAAGUGCAAUCUUACAAUGUAAGUCUCCAUUGAAGUACAAAGACCCGGGAAGUCCUACCAUUUUAGUCAUGAUUGGAGGAAAGAUAGUGGAAAAAGCCUUGUUAGAUUUGGGAGCAAGUGUGAAUUUGCUUCCAUAUUCCGUCUAUAAGCAAUUGGGACUUGGUGAGUUGAAGCUAAUAGCAAUCACUCUAUCUCUAGCAGAUAGAUCAGUAAAAAUUCCAAGGGGGGUAAUUGAGGAUGUCUUGGUUCAAGUGGAUAAUUUCUACUAUCCAGUAGAUUUUAUUGUUCUUGAUACAGAUCCUACUGUAAAGGAAGCUAAUUUAGUUCCUAUCAUCCUUGGAAGGCCAUUUCUUGCUACCUCAAAUGCAAUCAUCAACUGCAGGAAUGGGCUGAUGCAACUCACUUUUGGCAACAUGACACUGGAUCUCAAUAUUUUCUAUAUGUCUAAAAAGCAAAUCACUCCGGAAGAAGAAGAGGGUCCAGAAGAGCUGUGCAUUAUUGAUACUUUGGUGGAGGAGCACUGUAAUCAAAAUAUGCAAGACAAGUUGAAUGAAAGUCUUGUGAAUUUUGAGGAAGGUUUGUCUGAAUCUCCUACUGUGCUUGCUACUCUACAAAGUUGGAGAAAGAUAGAAGAGAUUCUACCUUUGUUCAAUGAAGAAGAAGAGGCAGCUGCUGAAAAAGAAAUUCCAAAAUUCAAUCUGAAGCCUCUACCUGUGGAGCUGAAAUAUACAUAUCUUGAAGAAAAUAAUCAAUGUCCUGUUGUAAUAUCUUCAUCUCUGACCAGUCAUCAGAAGAAUUGUUUAAUGGAAGUUCUCAAGAGGUGUAAGAGGGCAAUAGGAUGGCAAAUAUCCGACUUGAAAGGCAUUAGUCCUUUAGUUUGUACUCAUCAUAUAUAUAUGGAGGAGGAAGCAAAGCCAAUUCGUCAACUUCAAAGAAGGUUGAAUCCUCAUCUACAAGAGGUGGUGCGAGCUAAGGUGCUGAAGCUACUUCAGGCAGGAAUCAUUUACCCUAUAUCUGAUAGCCCUUGGGUGAGUCCUACUCAAGUGGUACCAAAGAAGUCAGGGAUCACAGUGGUUCCGAAUGAAAAAGGAGAAGAAGUUACUACACGCCUCACUUCAGGUUGGAGGGUGUGUAUUGAUUAUAGAAAGUUGAAUGCUGUAACCAGGAAGGAUCAUUUUCCAUUGCCAUUUAUUGACCAAGUGCUGGAGAGAGUCUCUGGACAUCCAUUCUAUUGUUUCUUGGAUGGGUAUUCAGGGUAUUUUCAGAUUGAAAUUGAUGUGGCAGAUCAGGAAAAGACCACUUUUACAUGUCCAUUUGGAACAUAUGCUUACAGGAGAAUGCCUUUUGGUUUAUGCAAUGCACCUGCUACAUUUCAAAGAUGUAUGUUGAGUAUUUUCAGUGAUAUGGUGGAACGAAUUAUGGAGGUUUUCAUGGAUGACAUCACUGUAUAUGGAGGUACAUUUGAGGAAUGCUUAGUUAAUUUGGAAGCAGUUCUUCACAGAUGCAUUGAAAAAGAUCUGGUGCUCAACUGGGAGAAAUGUCAUUUUAUGGUACGUCAAGGAAUUGUCCUUGGUCAUAUCAUCUCUAAAAGAGGCAUUGAAGUUGAUAAAGCAAAGGUGGAGCUUAUUGUCAAAUUACCAUCCCCAACAACUGUAAAAGGAGUAAGGCAGUUCCUUGGCCAUGCAGGGUUCUAUAGGAGAUUUAUAAAAAGGUUUUUCAAGUCUUUCAAAACCUCUUUGUGAGCUGUUAGCUAAGGAUGCUAAAUUUAUAUGGGAUGAAAGGUGUCAGAAUAGCUUUGAUCAACUGAAGAAAUUUUUAACAGCAACUCCAAUAGUGAGAGCCCCUAACUGGCAAUUACCUUUUGAACUGAUGUGUGAUGCCAGUGACUUUGCUAUAGGAGCUGUGCUUGGCCAAAGGGAAGAUGGGAAGCCCUAUGUGAUUUACUAUGCAAGUAAAACACUGAAUGAAGCUCAAAGGAACUACACAACUACAGAGAAAGAAUUGUUAGCUGUGGUAUUUGCUUUGGACAAAUUUCGUGCUUAUUUAGUGGGGUCUUUCAUCAUUGUCUUUACUGACCAUUCAGCCUUGAAGUAUUUAUUGACAAAGCAAGAUGCAAAAGCAAGGUUGAUUAGAUGGAUUCUUUUGUUACAAGAAUUCGAUCUUCAAAUCAAAGAUAAGAAAGGAGUGGAGAAUGUGGUAGCUGACCACCUUUCCAGGUUAGUUAUAGCACAUAAUUCCCAUCCCUUGCCUAUUAAUGAUGAUUUUCCUGAAGAAUCACUCAUGUUCUUAGUGAAAACUCCUUGGUAUGCUCAUAUUGCUAAUUAUUUAGUAACUGGUGAAAUUCCAAGUGAGUGGAAUGCACAGGACCGGAAGCACUUCUUUGCCAAAAUUCAUGCUNNNNNNNNNNNNNNNNNNNNNNNNNNNNNNNNNNNNNNNNNNNNNNNNNNNNNNNNNNNNNNNNNNNNNNNNNNNNNNNNNNNNNNNNNNNNNNNNNNNNCCCUAACUGGCAAUUACUUUUGAACUGAUGUGUGAUGCCAGUGACUUUGCUAUAGGAGCUGUGCUUGGCCAAAGGGAAGAUGGGAAGCCCUAUGUGAUUUACUAUGCAAGUAAAACACUGAAUGAAGCUCAAAGGAACUACACAACUACAGAGAAAGAAUUGUUAGCUGUGGUAUUUGCUUUGGACAAAUUUCGUGCUUAUUUAGUGGGGUCUUUCAUCAUUGUCUUUACUGACCAUUCAGCCUUGAAGUAUUUAUUGACAAAGCAAGAUGCAAAAGCAAGGUUGAUUAGAUGGAUUCUUUUGUUACAAGAAUUCGAUCUUCAAAUCAAAGAUAAGAAAGGAGUGGAGAAUGUGGUAGCUGACCACCUUUCCAGGUUAGUUAUAGCACAUAAUUCCCAUCCCUUGCCUAUUAAUGAUGAUUUUCCUGAAGAAUCACUCAUGUUCUUAGUGAAAACUCCUUGGUAUGCUCAUAUUGCUAAUUAUUUAGUAACUGGUGAAAUUCCAAGUGAGUGGAAUGCACAGGACCGGAAGCACUUCUUUGCCAAAAUUCAUGCUUAUUAUUGGGAAGAGCCCUUUCUUUUUAAGUAUUGUGCAGAUCAGAUCAUAAGGAAGUGUGUUCCUGAAGAUGAGCAGCAAGGGAUUCUAUCUCAUUGUCAUGAGAAUGCAUGUGGAGGCCACUUUGCCUCUCAGAAAACAGCUAUGAAGGUGUUGCAAUCAGGGUUUACUUGGCCAUCUCUUUUCAAAGAUGCCCACAUCAUGUGUAGAAGUUGUGACAGAUGCCAAAGGCUUGGAAAGCUAACAAAAAGAAAUCAAAUGCCUAUGAACCCCAUUCUAAUAGUUGAGCUAUUUGAUGUAUGGGGCAUUGACUUCAUGGGACCUUUCCCAAUGUCUUUUGGUAAUUCUUACAUCUUGGUGGGGGUGGAUUAUGUUUCUAAAUGGGUUGAGGCAAUCCCCUAUAAACAAAAUGAUCACAGGGUGGUUCUCAAGUUUCUUAAAGAGAACAUUUUCUCAAGAUUUGGGGUGCCCAAAGCCAUAAUCAGUGAUGGAGGUGCUCAUUUUUGCAACAAACCUUUUGAAGCUCUGUUAUCCAAGUAUGGAGUGAAGCAUAAGGUGGCUACACCUUAUCAUCCUCAGACUUCCGGGCAAGUUGAGCUAGCUAACAGGGAAAUAAAGAACAUAUUGAUGAAAGUGGUGAAUUCCAGUAGAAAAGAUUGGUCUAUUAGGCUUCAUGAUUCAUUGUGGGCAUAUAGAAUAGCUUAUAAGACUAUUCUUGGGAUGUCUCCUUAUCUUCUUGUCUAUGGCAAAGCAUGCCAUCUCCCUGUGGAAGUUGAAUACAAGGCUUGGUGGGCAAUAAAGAAGUUAAACAUGGAUUUGGUCAGAGCCGGAGAAAAGAGAUAUCUAGACCUUAAUGAGAUGGAGGAAUUAAGAAAUAAUGCUUAUAUCAAUUCCAAAGUUGCAAAACAGAGGAUGAAGAAGUGGCAUGAUCAACUCAUCUCCAACAAGGAAUUUCAGGAAGGGCAAAGAGUUUUACUGUAUGACACAAGACUCCAUAUCUUUCCUGGGAAGCUCAAGUCAAGGUGGAUAGACCCGUUCAUUAUUCACCGAGUAUAUUCCAAUGGAGUGGUGGAAUUAUUGAAUUCAAAUGGCAAGGAUAGCUUUAGAGUCAAUGGAUAUCGUCUCAAGCCAUUCAUGGAUCCAUUCAAACCAGAAAAGGAGGAAAUCAACCUCCUUGAGCCUCGAAAAGCCUAAGCAAAGAAGGGUUUGCUGGACGUGGUUUACCACAGUCCAAAAUUUUUGUAAAUUUUGUAAAUUUUCAAGUUUUUUUUCCAUACAUUUGAUCUUAGUUUUUGAUCUUAAAUCAUGUUUUUAGGUGUGUUUUAAUCUUUUUGAAUGAUCCCAGGUGGAAGAAAUUGCAAGGAAAUUGAAAGGAAAAGAAUCGGAUAAAAAACAGAGCAAAAACAGAGCAAAAAACAGAGCUCUGCGAGAUUUCGCAGCCUCUGCGAAAUCAGCACUAUGCUGCAAAACCAUUCCGCAACACUUUGGAGUUCUCUGCGAGAAUUUUCGCAGCUGCGAAGGCGAUUUUGGCACACGAGUGCCACUUUGCAGCACAGGAGCCCUCAUUUGGCAGCUGCGAAACGCAUUGCGAAGUGGUAAAGCCUGAUUUCGCACCAAAAGUCCCAUUCCGCAGGGUAUUUUGCAAUUGCGAAAGCGAUUUUGGCACACGUGUGCCACUUCGCAGCACAGUAACAUUAAUUUCGCAGCUGCGAAAUGCAUUGCGAAGUUGCUGCGAAAAUGACAUUUUGCUGCGAAAUUGGCAUUUUGCUGCGAAACUCAAACUGACCCUUAGUCUUCCCUUAUUCCUAUUUAUACCGGUCAUUUGAGUUGCGAAAAGGGUUUCAAAAUCAGAGCGCGCCAUUCUCGCAGACCGUCCAUCUCCUUCUUCAAGCCUCACCGCGCAAGCCUCCGGUCAUCUUCUCCGACCAUCCGUUCCGGCCAAACUUCGGUAAUCCGAAAUGGCGCGAACAAGAGGGGCUAAGUCUCCAUCUCCUUCGAGCCGCAAGAGAAGCUUGCGAAAGGAACCAGUUCCAGAUCCUAUCCCUGACCCUCCGCAGCCGAAAGCAAUUCCUCCUCCGGUGAAGCCCGCGCUGCCAAAGCCUCCGGUAAAGCCCGCGCCGCCAAAACCUCCGGCAAAACGAUACCUAACCAGGUCAGGGGGUCGGCCACUGCAAAAGAAACCCAGGGUGGAGAGCUUAGAACCCAUCGAUUUGACUGAGCAAUCUCCAGAGCCCUCGCCGGCUCCAACUCCAGUUCCCUCGCCAAUUCAGCCUCCGGUGCCAUCUCCGACGCCGCAAGCAAAAUCUCAGGAGACUCAAGCGCCACUUCCCGAGCCCCAAAUUCCAUCUGAAAUAGCUCCGGAAGAAGUAAUCAGGAGGCCGAUGCUGACCCAGCUCCCAAUUGAGGGAAAUUUGGAUUGUAGAACUCGGCCAUUCCACUCCGAGCUAGGCUUUGACAUAUCUACAUUCCAAUUGCAGCCGGAGCUUGCACAGUCAUUCAACCUUCUAAGAAGGUACCAUAUGGAGCAUCUGCUGACUCCGAGAGACUUUUUCUACCCAAGGGUGGCCAUGGAUUUCUAUCAAUCCAUGACAACCAACCAGGUCAGGGAUCCAACUUUAAUUCAUUUCACUAUUGAUGGGAGGCAUGGCAUAUUGGGAGCACGCCAUAUAGCUGAAGCCUUGCAAAUUCCCUAUGAGCCGACCCAAUUCGAUAAUUUUAGAGCUUGGACCAAUCCUACUGAGCUGGAGAUGGUGCGCACCCUAUCCAGAGGAGCUGCCAAUCGAUCAUAUCUGUUGAGGGGGGAGCUUCCUCCAAUCAUGUUUUUGAUUGAUGCAUUUUUGCGUCAUAACCUCUACCCAUUGCAGCAUUGGACUCAAAGAAGAGGAGUCCUCUUAGAAGCCCUGUACAAGAUGUCUGAAGGAUUUUUCUUUGGGCCUCAUCAUCUGAUUCUGGCAGCCCUUCUCUAUUUCGAAGAGAAGGUACACAAAAAGAAGCUUCAGAGAGCUGAUUGCAUUCCCCUCCUCAUUCCAAGGCUGCUAUGCCAAAUUCUGGAGCACUUGGGGUAUCCUUCUGAACCUCAAUUGGAGCGCAAACGCAUUUGCCGUGAGCUUUUCACUCUUAACAAAUGGAACAACAUGACAGCUUAUCGAGUUGACCAGCCUGAGCGCCCACAGCCAGCUGUAAGGAGAGCAUCCCCACGACACAUACCUGAGGGUAUAACAGUUGCUGCUCCUGCCAUUUGCAGAGCUCCACCAGCUGCUCCAGCUUCAUCUCAGCCAUCCACUUCAGCUGAGCCGAGGAUGGCCAUACCCAUUUCUGAAUAUCGAGAGUUGUGCCGUGCAUUGCAGACCCUCACAGCUUCUCAGAGCAGUCUUGCUCAAGAGAUGGCAGCCAUUAGAGCAUGCCAAGAGCAGAUGUUGGCCACUCAGGCUCAACAAGCUGCCAUCUUAAGGCAGCUCCAGCUUCAUUUCAACCUGCCACCAGCUGUUGAGCCCUCCACUUCUACUCCAGCAGAGCCACACUCUCAUCCCUCAGAGCCUCAAGCCCCAGCUGAAGCACCAACUGAAGAGGCAGAUCCAUCUGCCUAGCCCCAGCACCACCCACUCAUCAGAUCAUUAUAUAUAUAUCUACUAUCUUUGUUUUAUGUAUUUCGUUUUUUAGUUUGAAAGAAAUCCCAUUAUUUUGGUAUUAUAUUUGGGAUUGCUUGUAUUACUUUUCUUUUGCAUUGUACUUAAAUGGAUUCAAAGUAAUACAAGUUUAAUAUUUCUUGUUAACAGUUAGCAUUAAGUUAUCCUUAUUUCCUUUUCUCACAUAUUCUAUUCUUUUUGAAACAUGUGGUUUCUCCAAUUAGUAUGCGAAUUUGAUAUCACACAGGAGGUACCACUUCCUCCCUUUAAUUACAGUCACUCAUAUCACAUUGAGGACAAUGCUCAGUUCGGUUGGGGGGAAUGAGGAAGGAAGUUAUGCUAAAUUAAAGGAAGUAUGCUAAGCCUUUUUAGUAAUGCAAUUAUUUUGGUAAAUUAGUUGUAGUUUUUGUUUUUUACUCUUUUUACUCUAUUCUCCAUGAAUCUUGAGGAAAAAUUUUCAAAUUAAAACAGGAAAAAUUGAACUGUUGUUUUUCACUUGACUUAGAGUAUGGAUUAUGCUCACUAAAGUGGUUCAAUUGUUGAAGCUUCUAUUGAAAUUGAAUUUAGUUCUUCCACUUUAAGCUAUUCACACACUGUGCACAUUAGAUUCCGAUUAUAAGAUGAAAAACUAUUUCCCUCUUGACUUAGGAUAAUUUUGGGACUUGGUAUAUUUGACCUCAUUUGAUAAAAAUUGAAACACCCUGCAAAAGGCCAAUGAGCCUUUGAAAUAAAGAAAGUUGUUUGCUUGCCUUAAAACCCGAGCAAGGUCUGAGAGGUAUAUGGUGAAAAUCUUUGAAGCCUGGUGCCCUAAGCCUUAAUUGGUUGGGAGUCACCGACCUCAAUGCUCGUUACAAGGGUGAAUAGGUAGAGUAGCAUAUGGUAGGUGCUUGGGUAUUAAAAAUUCAUUCUCAAAAGUCCGGGGAAAAAUCCGAGGAGUUAGUGGUUGAAAGAUCCUUAAAGCUUGGUGCCCUAAACCUUAAUUGGUUGGGAGUCAUCGAUGGACCCCCAUUACAUGGACAAUACAGAAAGAGUACCCCAUAAGUUCUUUGUUAAAAAAAAAAAAAAAAAAAAAAAAGUGUGUUCUUUCUUUAUUGAUUUUGGUCAGUUUGCUAAGUGUUGAAAAGAGAUAGGUUGGGGGGAGAGAUUAGUUUAGCAUAUUAUUCUCGGAAGCUAAGGAACCAAUACACAUAGAUUUUUGAGGAAGAAUAAAGUUUGGUUCUUUGAAAGUGGAAAUGAUUUUAAAACUUCAGUUUGCAUAAUGCAUUCCCUUGUUUGACAGUGUUUAGCAUAGUUUGUUAUAACUCUUGUUGAAAUUUGCUUUUAUAUUUCUUUAAGGUUUCAUGAGAGAAUUAGAUCAUCAUGCCACUUGAGAAUUGUUUUUGAUCAGCAUGAUGUUGUAAAUUAUAGUUUAAUUUGUUGUUUAUUUUCAUUUUUCUCUCCUAUAUUGCUAAGGGACUAGCAAUAUGUCGGUUGGGGGGAGUGAUUACUACUCAAAAAGUGCUAUUUGAUAGCUUAUAAUUAAUCCUUUUAAACACUUUUGAGUAGUAGUUUUGGCCUUUUAACUCAAUUGGCAUGUUAAGGACCCUUGAAAACAAUUUUAAUCACUUUGUGUAAGUUUUGGUGUUUUUGUUAGUAUUUUGAUCACCAAAGCAAUUCAAGAUUGAGGAGAAUUUUGAGGAAUCUUGGGCAAAGCUUGGAAGUCAUUUGCCAAGAGUAAAUCCGAAGUGCAAGGAGAAAAAGUAAAGAGAAUCUGCCAUGAAGCAUAUUCUUGAUGACAGUCGUGGCAGCCACUUUUGGAGCACUUUCUGAAGUCCAAUUGAUGCAUGCUAUAUACCAUUUCAAAGCUCAGGAAGUCAAUAAUCUAAUGCUUCAAACGGUGCGCAAUUUGGAGUUGAAACGAAGAAGUUGCAGCCAUUGCAAGCCAAUCACUCCAAGCUGAAGGAAGCAUUUUCCAAAGUGUUGCGAAAUCACCCUUUUGUUGCGAAGUGAUUUCGCAGCAUUUUUGUACAGUAUGAUGUAUUUCCUCCUGAAGUUGCCCGAUAUAUGCCGCAAGCUGGAAGCUGAGAGCAUCAAGGUGGAAGCCAACUUCGCAGCCCUGCGAAGAUAGCAUGUUGUUGCGAAAUGAUUUCGCAGCCCUUCUUGAGUGUCUGCGAAAUCUCACAGACACCAUUUUCUCUUGCGGAAUGGUUCCUGGAGCAUCCCGAUAUUUGCUAUCGACAUUGGGAGAUAUUUUACAUCAGAUUUUUGUUGUCUAAAUCCCAAAAUACUCCUUGUAAGCCACCAAUUACAAGAUUCCUUAGCUUUUAAGUUAGUAAAAAGAGAAAAUAUCUAUGUAAUAAUUAGUUUUAUAUUAUGUUCAUAUAAAUACCUCUCGGGAGCCUGUUCUCAGAGAGAGCCUUUUGUAAAGUUUUGGGUAAGCAAGUAAAGUUCAGUUCUUUGUAUUACCUUACCUUCUCACUUUGUAUAUUUUAUUUUCUUACUAAGUUAUGAACUCUCUGAGGAGUUUUCCCCAGAGAAUGAGUAACUAAACCUCUAAUUCCUUGGAGCUAAGGUUGCCGGGGAAGGUUCCAAGUGCAAGAAUGCAAAGCUUUGUGGUUUUAGCUAGUAAUGAAGAGGAAGUGAAAUCCUUUAGUGAUUUCUAUGUUUUUAGUUAACUUAAAACACCUUAGAGUCAUCUGGGCCAACACUUGGUAAGGCAAGUGAUUUCCAACCAUGGAAAUGCACUAGUUUACCCCUUACGAGCCUCUGGAAGGUGACUUUAGGGUAGGAUUUUCUAGAAUAGCCAACACUUGGUAAGCUUUUGGACUCCAAGGAGACAUCCAUUAGUUAUCUCUUGCGAGCUUUUGAAGGGAAGUCCAAGGUUAAAGAUCAUCUUGAAUGGUAAGUGCUCGUGAGAGGCAUGAACCAUUGCAAGUUGUAUCAAUGAGAGAAUUAAAGUUGAAAUCCAAUUAAAGGAUGUAUCUGUACAACACCGGUUAGAGAAUUGACUAUAUGUUGAAUCUCUAACGCGAAGAAAGGAACCAUCUGACCGAAGCUAUGUCUUUUGCAUGAGGAACCACCCCAGUGAACCUAACUCUCCAAGGAAUGCUUUUCUUCCUAAGUUAUUCCGAGUACUUGUUAUGUUAGUUAGUUUAAAUCUUUACCAAUCAAAGUUUGUGUUUUAUUUCUUAAGCUAACCUUGAAAUGAAACAAGACCAAUUCACUUGGAAUUGGUAUCAUUGAUAGCUUGCUAAUCCUUCCCAGUGAACGAUCCUAGAGUCGCUAUACUAUAGUAACUUUUUCUUUGCUACCCUAGUAUAUGGUGUUAUAGGUUAUAAAUUUUGUUGAUUACUCCCUCUAUCAAGAAGCACCAGCUAGACACGAAUCAGCUGAGACACCAAUUGGGCACGAAUCAACAACUAACAACCUAUUAACUACUUAACAACUCUAACUAACAUCCAACCUCAAGCACAUAGGGUGAGAAAGAACUAUGAGCUUGCUCUAGAGAUGAAGGAAAUGCUGAGUGGAGAGAGCUUUGGUUAAGAUAUCAACAGCUUGGUCUCCAAAUGGAAGAAAUCAAACAUCAAAAGUUUUCUACGGGACUCAUUCUUAAACAAAAUGAUAAUUAAUUUCCACAUGUUUAGCCCGAGAAUGAAGGACAAGAAUUACAGCCAAAUAACAUGAACUAAAACAGGGGAACAAAGGGCUCUUUAAGAAAGGAUUGAAUCUAAGUGAGUACGACCGUUGCAUUGGCCAAGCCCCUAUACUCGGACUCGGUAUAAGAGUGUGAACCACCUUUUGUUUAGAAGCUGACUAAGAGACCAGAUUACCACAAAAAAAAAACAAAAAAAAAAAACAAAACACAGUAGCCACUAGUGCUACGUCUAUCAUUAGGGCAAGAUACCCAAUCGACAUUUGUAUAAGCAACAAGAUUGAGUGAGGAAGAUGGUUGGAAAAAAAAAACCCAUAAAACAACAAACCUUUGAGAUAACAAAUAACAUGCUUCAUAUCUUGAAAAUGAGUAGAGGUUGGAGCAUGCAUAAAUUGGUAAAUCUUAUUAACAGUAUAAGGAGUGUUUGGUCUAGUGAUUUUGCAAUACUGAAGGGCACCUACAAGACUCUAAUAGAAAGUGGGAUCCUCUAAUUUGGUACCAUCAACUAUGAAUAAAACAAGACCAGUAGCCAUUAAAGAAGCAACAAGCUUUGAUUCCAACAAAUCAACAUGCUGAAGAAGAUCACAAAUGUAUCUAUCUCGGCUUAAAUGCAAAGAAAAUCCAAAAUUGAGCACCUCUAUUCUAAGAAAGAAAUUGAGAGGACCAGAUUCUUGAGAGCAAAGCAAGAGUUUAAGGAAGAUAUAAGUUGUUCAAUGAGCAAGGAAUUUGAAUUAGUGACAAUAAUAUCAUCGAUAUAAACUAAGACAACAAGCAUGAUAGAAUUGUUAUGGUAACCAAACAUUGAUGUAUCUACUUAAGAUAUGGAAAAACCCCAUUUAAAUAAUGCAGAAUUCAGUUUCGUGAACCAAGCCCAUGGAGUUUGCUUCAAGCCAUACAAGGCCUUGGUAAGCUUACAAACAAAAUUGGGCUUAGAAGGAUCCACAAAACCCGGGGGUUGUAUCUAAAAACUUGCUCAAAUAAAUCACCAUUAUGAACAUCAAGUUGUUGGAUAGACCAAUUUCUACUCAAUGCCAAAGAGAGAACCACACUAAAGGUUUAACCACAAAACUAAAGGUUUCAAAGAAAUCAAAACUGUGAGUUUGAUGGAAUCCUUUCACCACUAAAUGUGCCUUAUAACAAUCAAUAGUUCCCUUAGGUUUAAACUUCAAUUUAUAAACCCACUAACAUCCAAUGGUAUUCUGAUUAGACGGAGGAGGAACCAUGACGUAUGUUUUAUUUUUCAUAAGAGCUUCAAAUUCAAGAUGCAUAGCCUAUUGCCAUUCAGGAACUUUAGCAGUUUCCUUAAAGGAAUCUAGUUCACAAAGUGGAGGAAAAAUAGUCUUAGUAGGAGACAAAUAUAACUUGAGUUCGAAAAUGCCAUUUUUGGCACGUAUUAUCAUGAGAUGACAAGGAGUAAGAACAUAAGAGGAAAGAGGUUGGGUUGUUGGAAUUGCUGUAACCUUAGAAAAGGAAAUUGACACACUAGAAUUAGAUAUUGGAACCAACUUUGAAGGUGGACAUAAUGGGGGAGGUAAGAGGGAAGGUAUUGGAGAUGAUGGUACUACCAAGGGAAUGACACAAUGAGAGGGGGAAACAGAAUAAGAAGUUUGAACUAUGGAAGACUUAGCAAAUCGGAAAUCUAGUUCAUAAAAAAUAACAUGUCGUGAUAUAUGUAUUUUAUGAUUGGACAUGUUUAAAUAAAGAUAUCCUUUAUGCUUAGAACUAUAGCCAAUAUUUUAACGGAUUGAUAUGCAAGUUUAUGACAAUUAAAAUGAUGUAGAAAAGGAUAACAAAUGUAGCCAUAGACAUGAAGAAAAUAAUAAUUUGGUAGACAAUGGUAAAGAGUCUUAUACGGAUCGAGAAGAGAUAUUCAACAUAGAGGUAGGAAGUCUAUUAAUCAAAUAUAAGGUAGAUUGGAAAACAAAAGGUCAAUAUUUAAGUGGAAUAGAAGCACGAGCAAGCAAAGAAAGACCUAUUUCAACCACAUGUCUAUGUUUUCUCUCCACAUGACCAUUUUGUUGAAAAGUAGAUGGACAAGAUAUUCUAUGCAGAAUCCUAAAUUUACAUAAAGUAUCAAUAAAGGCUUGAAACUCCCCUCCCUAAUCAGUUUGAAGCACUCUUAACUUUAGUGUCAAAUUGAGUCUCAGUUAUCACUUUAAAUUGCAAAAAAACAGAGAUAGCUUGAUUUUUAAAAGCUAGUAGAUACAACCCCAAGAAAAUCUUGUAUGGUCAAUUGGAAAAAAGUACAAAGUAUCUUGCAUCAUUAGCACCAACAAUAACGGUAGGACCCCAUAGAUCAAAAUGUAUAAGAGCAAAAGGCUAAGAGACUCUGGAUUUAGACAAAGUAAAAGGUAAGUGAUGACUCUUUGCCAUUUGACAAGGUUCACAAAUACCUAUCCAAUGUUCUGAGGGCAUACUACAAUCACUCAAAACUUUAUUCACUAUUUUACGUGCAAGAUGGCCUAAUUAAAAUGUCAUAGAGCUACCUUAUUGGGAAGUUGUAAUGCAAAUAACAUACACGGGACCUCAAUUGCCAAGCUUGUUCUUCUAACAAUUUUAUUACCUUUAGAAUCUAUAUUUUUUUUACCAGAAACUGAAGAUGACAAUUUGUAUAAACCAUGGUUAAGGUUGCCUUGGAGAAGAGCCUUCUUUGAAGCUUGAUCCUUCAUCACAAAUCCAUUAGUAAAGAAUUCCAUAGUAACAUUAUUGUUAGUACACAACCUAUUCACACUUAUCAAAUUGGUUGUAAGUUGUGGAACAUGUAGAAUAUUCUUUAGAUUUAAAGACUGAGAAACUGACAAAAUAGUAGAGUAUCCAAUAUUUGAGAUAUUUAAGCAACUACAGUUUCCAACGACAACUUUGUCCAAACCAGCAAAUGGAGUAUGUGCAUUCAAGUUCUUGAAAUUUAAAGUUAGGUGAUAUGUAGCUCUAGUAUCCAUGUACCAACUUCCAUCUGCAAUAGUGGCCAGAGUUGCAAUCAUUGCAGCAAGAUGAGGUUACUCAAUUCUUAGGGUUCUUUUUCCUCAUUGGUUUUUGACUCGGAUGAGUUAACUUAGUUCCUAGAGCUCUUCCUCAAUGACAAACAAUUUUGAUUAGAGUGUGGCAAGGAGUUCAAUGAGCAAGCUGGUGAUUGAUCAAGGCCUCACUAGUGAUGAGGACGUCGGUGAUAGCAACAAUCUAGUUGGAGAAACGAUUUUUUCCAACACCCUCAAACACCGCAAAAAUGAUCAUAUCGUCAUCAUGAUCUUAGAUAAGAGAAACUUAAAGUUUUGUUUAUUCCAAUUUCAAAUUGAAAACAAAAUUGUAGAGCACUAGAUACAAAAUAAAAAAAAAAUAAAAGAACGAAAAAUCACUAUAGAAACCUUAGAAAACACACUAGGAAGAAAAAUCAUAGACAAACUCACAGAAGAAUUUUAUGGCUUUAGGAGUUGGAGCCGGAGUUGGAGAAGAGUCUUAAUGGACAUUGAGGAAGGACAAGAAGAGGUGUUCAACUAUAAUUUAUGUAGGCUAUAUUGUAAAGGUUGGCUUUAAAAUGUAUCUAGUAGCGACCUAAUUAGGGUUCAAAGUAUCGGCCAAGUCUGAUACGACUCGGCCGAGUCAUAUCUGUCUCGACACUUGUCGCAACGAGACCGAUACCAGAUACAAUAUAAUGCAUGAACUCGACUGGGAAUCGGUUAGACUUUGCUAAGUUUUCGAGUUAACUCGGUUGACUCGGUUAGGUUAUAAAGAAUUUUCAAAUUUUUCAUAAAAUUGAAAAUAAUAAUAAUAAUAAAUCAGAGAUUGCCCUUUCAAAAGCAAACACCUAUUUUAAAAUUUUAAACCAUCAAUGAGAAGAUCAAAGAAGACCAAGAAGAAAAAACCUAACCUGUGACUCGUUCGGAAAUAAGUGGAGAAACCACCAAAGGAUGAGGGCAUAAUUUAGGAUUUACUUACUUGAUUUUCCUCAAAAUCGAGCAUUACCGAAGGGUGGAGCUUUGGUGUCGGCGAUGGUGACUCAUCAAGUGGAUUGAAUCUUUCACCGGGGACAUCAACAAGACAACCCCCUCAUAGUCAGAUUGCUCCCCCUCCCGUGUUAGGUCUUGCACGGUUGCAAAUUUGCGAUUGUAGGUGGUAUCGUCUAUUUUGGGUCUUGACAGUAAUGAUGACGUGCGAGGGUGGGAGAUUGGGAGCUUAAAUUAGUAAAGUAAAAAAUUGCAUUUUAUAUGGAUUUACAUGGAGAAUUGAGUCCCUGAUUUACAUGGAAAAUACCUUUCAUAUACACACUUUAAUAUGAUUUAAUAGUAACAUAUUAGGAGAAUUGAGUACCCGAUUUGCUAAAGUAAAAUGAUAUGAAAGGUAUAGAUGAAGUUUAAUGAUAAAUUAAAGUGUUUAUAUAGCAAAGUGAAAAUUAAAUCCUCAAUUUUUAAUAUUAUCACAAAAUAACUUUGAGCUAAAUGUGAAAAAAAAAUGGUUUUAUUAAAAUUUUCACCUUAUUUAAUUAUAUCUAUUUUAUUUUUUGAUUUAUAUAAUAUUUUUAUAAUUUUUUGAAAAUUUUAAUUAUCUUAUUUUACGUAUCGUCCAAUACCGAACCGAAACACUGAAACCAAUAUGCCUCGUGAUCCUCCGAGUCAAUGAUCGAUACCACGACUUUGAACCAUGGACCCAAUGGAAGUGGAGUCUAUAGGAACAUCUAUGGUAACGAUCCAAAAAUUAUUGCAGGCAUAAGAGAAUAUAUAAUAGCACUUUCAACAGUAAUCAUGACUAUGUAUCUUUCCUGGAAAUUUCCCACCAAUCCCAAUCCCAACCCCUUUAGAUGCAUGUGGUUGGAAUAUGCAUGAAGCUAUAUAUUACGUGGUUGGGAUAUGAAUGAGGCUAUAUACUAUUUUUAGUUGUGGAUUUUCUUAGCCCCUACUAAAACUAUGUCGCCAUUUCCUAUUCUUCUUGUAAUGUCAAGUUGGAAAGUUAAAUUUAAUUUAAAAACUUUCUAAAUAUUAAAUUUAGAGUUAGUUUCUAAAUGUUAAGGAGAACAUUUUAUUUUGAAUGAUUAUUUAGUUUUUGUAUUUGAGUAUUCAAGUCCUGAAAGGUCUCUAUAUUUCAUUAUUAAGAUUUUCUAUUUAGACAAAUGUGAGUAUAUUUAUAAACAAAAAAUUAUAUAAUAUAUACAUUUUUUAUAAAAAAAAAAAGCAAUAAAAUACAAUAAAAUUUUAAUUCUCUCCUAUUUUUAUCUUUUUUAUAAGUGUGUGUUUAUCUUUCAUCUAGAUAACUCACACAAUACUAACACAAUGAGAGUAAAAGGAGAAGGGCAAUAAAGAGUUGGGGCCGGAGAUCAUUGGAGGAACGGGUCAACUGUAGGCCGGUUGUCAAUGGGCUCAUAUAAGUAACAAAAAUUGGAAAUGGUUUCUAUAUCUUAGUGUCGUGUCUAGAAGACGACAAUCUACCUGUCAGUGUGCAGCAGAAGAGAAAGCGUGAUAUCUACUUAGAGUCAAAACAAAGGGAACCAGCUCGCAAUUCCUCCGAUACAUCAUUACCGACGUCAUAGCUCUAUUCCCCCAAUUCGUCACUACCAACGUCAUUCUAUCUCCAUUACGCAUUAUUUAAAGAGUCCCCAUGCAGAAGCUGUUCGAAACACAAGUCAGCUUUGACACAACCCCACUUCAUUGUGAUAACCUAUCCGGCACAGGUCCCUGUCCAAAGACCCAUCUUACUCUUUACAUUGUGGCCACUGAUUUGGUAUCUAAUCUCAGGCAAAAUUCACUGGUUUGAUGAAGGUUAUAGAACAAAACUUGUGUUAUUCUUAUCUUUGGUUUUGAUGAACUUUAAAGCAUUUAAAAAGAUUCAACUGGUAAGAAGUAUUUUUGCCUUGGGAAGAUGUUGGUUAUGGAUUAAAAGCAAAAAAGACCCUUGUACAUAUUUUUGGGUACCUGUCAAGCAAAUUAAUGCACAUCCGAACAUCACAACUGUUGUCUCUUAAAUUCUUCCAAUUGACCUGCUUUCGUCUUAUUGAGCGUCUGGGUUACUUGAUAAUGCAAAAACUCAUACAGUUAUUUCGAUAAAUUAAGAGCCUCGGGCAUCAAGGAAAAUCUAUUAUUACUUAAUCGAUAAAUUAAUAAUUUAUUAAUUUAAUUGCUUAUUAAUGAGAUCUCUUGAAUAAUUCUAUUAUGGAACAAGACACCAUAACAAUAUUAAAUAAAUUUUUGUCAUAGUAUGAGAAUACCACACUAGAUGUAAUAUGAGAAUGUCAUAUUUAAUUAGGGCCUUGGCUUAAAAUAAGUAAAUAAAUAAUUAAUAAUUAAAAUAUAAAUACUAGACUCACAUUUUAAACAAACACUUCUAAACUCUCAGACUCUACAAAGAACAUACACAAAGAAAUCUAGGUUCCAGAUUUGAGUGAAGAGAAAGAGAAUUUGAUUUUUUUUGUUCUUUUGUGAAAAUUUCAUGGUAAGUGAUACUUCUUAAAGUUUUCUUUUUUUUUUUUUAUAGUUUUUCUUCUUAGAAACUUUAAUUUCCUAAUAAGAUUAAAAAAGAAUUAAUGAAAACAAGAAAUUAAGAAAAUAAAUUGAAAGUAGUUAAAUCUAGAAUGAUAGAAUAAUAAUAAUAAUAAUAAUAAAAACAAUAGAAAGUUUGAUGUGUUAUUGCCGAAACCUAGAGGAAAAUUCUAUAUGAAAUAGUGGAGUUUAUGUUUUUUUUUUAAUAUAUAUAUAUAUAUAUAUAUAGGAUUUUUGGGAGAAAUAGGUAUCCAUGUAAAUAGAAAUUCUUAUGUGUAGGAGAUAAUAAUUGUAUUAAAAAAAAAUUAAUAGACUAAAACCUGGAGAUUGGUAUUCAUACAGUAAGAUUCCAAGUAUAUAGAAAGUAGAAUUACAUGGAACCUAAAAUUUGGUGCACAAUGUGAUUCUUUAUUUAAAACAAAUAGAAUUUAGUGCAUAGUAGGAUUCCUUGUUCAAAUGAAAUAGAAUUUGUUGGGAGAUACAUGGACUAAUAUUAAUUGUGAAGUUAAGAUGUAUUGUGUAUUGGUGUGAUACUGGAAGUGCAUGAGACAAACUUUUGGAGUGUUGGUAUAGGAAAUAAAGUUUUUUUAAAAAAAACUAAUCUAAUAUAAAAAUAUUGGAGGCCUCGAAUUUUAUUAUGUUAGGAUUCCAUAAUGAAUUAAAUUAAAUCAAAUUAAAUUAAUGUAAUUUAGAUUAGAUUAAUUAUAAGUGAGGGAAUUGAAAAGUUCAAGACAAUAAUUUCAAGACAAUUAAGAAAUGGAAAUUUGAUGUUUUUCCUAGAUAAAUGAAUAAUUUAUAUAUGUGUUACAAAACUAUACAUAUUUAGAAUAUAAUUAUUAUUAGAACAUUUGUUUAAAGAACCCUUAGAAUUUCUCAGGUAAUUCUUAGGAAAUUCUACUGCUUUAAUAUUUGGAGUUUGAGUCCAAUUAAGGGGACUAACUAAAUUUUUUUUUUUAUUUUAUAAAUAGUCAAAUAUAAUUUUCUUUUGAAAGUUUUAAGAAAUUGGAAAAUAAUUUUGUUAUAUUGUAUAUGUUUGCUUACACGUGUGAUAUGAAUUUUUUUGUUUAAAAGAAAAAAAAAAUUAGGACUAGUAAUCUAAUCCUUGUUAAUAAAGGAAAGUGUUUUGACUUUCAUUACCUUUGGUGAAGGUAAUGAUAAUUUGUAAACCCAAUCAUUAGAUUUGUCCUGGCUCCGCCCACCAUCAUGUAAGGAACACAUGAGGUUAGCUAUUUCUAUUAGUCUCAUUACAAUGGGCACCUCUCUAAGUCCAAAUUUUGAUGGGCAUUUUCUGUAAAAAGUUAGAAUUGUUCAUUUAAUAUGUUUGCAAAAUAAUGUUAUGCUUAAAUUAUUUUAAAAAUGACACAUGUAAUAUUAGUUGUUUUGUUGUGUUUAAAAGCAUGCUAUAAAGAUUCCUUAUUUCAUUUUUGGAAACACGCAUACUUGAUUUUCAUACCCCUCAUCGGACUUUAAACUCACUCCUUUUACUAAAAUGUUUUUAGAUAUACAUCUAAUUCUAGCAAUGAGUGAUUCGAGUAAGAGGGUUUUUCAUAGAUCCAUUUAGUUCUUAGUUUUAAGUUUAAUGUCAUAAUAACAUUUUGUUAUUAUAGUUUAAUUUAUCAUUACUAUUUUAGAUAAUAUGUUAUAUUUGAAUUAUAGAUUUCGUGCGAAAGAAUAAUUUUUUAUUAUUUCUUUGAAGAUAUAUGAUCAUUUUGAAAGUUUGCUUCUAAAAUGACCUUGGUGUUUAGCUUACGGGUCAGUAUCGUUAUACUAGACCUUCUAUUUGUAUUAUGAAACUACAUAGAUUUUUCCAUAAUAUAUUAUAUUAUAAAUUUAUCAAAUUAUUAGUUUAGCAUGAUGGCCCUAGGUUCAUAUUGAUUAAAAAAUUAUUUAAUUGAGGUUCUCUAUUAAUUAAAUAUUAAUUUAAUUGUCAGAUACUCUUAUUAUUAUUAUUUUUUAUAAAAUAUUCAAAAAUAUUCUUUGUUAUAUCUUUAACUUAAAAAUAUUUUAAAAAAAACAAGAAUAAAAAAACAUCACCAAACAAGCCCUUAUUUAUUUGUUUGUUUUUUAUGUUUUGUUUGCUAUUGUGGUUUUGUUUAGUUGUCAAGAAGUGUGAGACAGUUGAAGAAAUUGAAGUUUUUUUUUUAUAUAUAUAUUUUUUUAAUAGUAUAGGCAAAAAUUCCAAAGGUUUGAAUUGCUUCAAUUUGUUUGUUUGACUUAUGAGAAAAGGUGGGACAAAUACUUCAAUGAGUUUAUAAUCAUCAGUAGUUAACUUACUUCUCUAUCGAAAUGGUUUAAUCAUUCACACUUAAAUUAAAAGCUGGAUUAUCAAAUCCAUUUCCCUUCAUGGAAACUAGUAACUUGAUCCAUCUACUGGUCAUUUAUGGCUUGAGGUCUUGUGCCAUGCACUCUUAAGUUGAUUUCUAGCUAGAAGUCGUAGUGGUAGGGUAUUCAGGAAUCCUUGUCAUAAAAUGUUGUAAAAUUUAUUUUGUGCAAAUUGUUAAGCUACAACUCAAACCAAGGAGUUAUAUACCAUCUAGAUUGCUUGGAUGAAGAAUAUAGACCAAAUCUAUGUAUGUAUGAUAGUUGUUAAUAGGUAGCAAUAGUGGAGUUAAGCUUCAUAGGAUACUGUUUACUGAUAAAGUUUACAUCUUAUAUAGGAUGGAACGAGUUUUUGAACUUUUGUUAACAUAGAAAAACUAAUUGGGUUAGAAUUCUGGCAUAGGUUUUUGCUAUGGUGAAUCAAACAUUCGGGGGACAUCUACCUAUGACACUCCCAAGACAACUAAUUAGUUCUUCACUAGAAUGAGAUGAUCGAUCUCUAUUUGAGCAAUUGGUUAGAUUAAUCCGAUAACUUUUUUUUUAAUUCUCCCAAUAAGAAAACCUUUCUUAAUUAUUCCAACAUGAGAAAUUUUUUUUCUACCUAUGGUUUUUUCAAUGACUAAAUAUAUUUAUUCCUUAGUAUCUAGUACUUUAAGAAAAACAAAAGUUAAAUUGAUUUUAUCAAAAUCUAAAACUUAAUUAAGUCAGAUAAUUAAAAUAUAAUUAAUUGAAAGUUAUCUUAAGCACAUUAAAUUUUACCUCUUACCACCUAAAAUGAUUUCAAAUUUUAUAGUUGUGAUAGAUCCAAGUUGUCCGAAAAGGUCUAUAGAAUAUGCAUUCUUUUACUUAUAAACAAUGUCUUAAAUAGUCGAGGUAGAGUUAUAUAGGGUCAUGGAUUUCUUAUUUUAUUCGAUGUGGGAAAUCAUAAUACACACUUAUCUCCUGUGAAGAGGGACCGUAACCAGGUUGGCUCAUAUAAAAUAACUAAAUUGGAAAUUGGUCUCUAGAUCUUAACUUUGGGUCGCGUCUAGAGGACGACAAACUACCGGUCAGUGUACAGCAGAAGAGAAAGUGAGACAGGAUACUUAUACAUCUCUUGAAAUUAAUUAGUCUUUGAGUCAAAACAAAGAGGAAGCAGCUCACAAUUCCUCCAAAACAUCAUUGCAAACGUCAUAGCUCUGUUUCCCCAAAUUCGUCAUUACAAACGUCAUUCCAUACUCUGCCUUCCUUAUUUAAAGAGUCCCAUGCAGAUGCAGAUGCAGUUCGAUACACAAGUCAGAUUUGAUCAUCCUCUACAUAGACCCAACCGAAGUAUCUCCACUUCAUCUUCUUCCCCUACAAUGACACAACCCCACUUCAUUGUGAUAACCUAUCCCGCACAAGGCCACAUCAACCCUUCUCUCCAACUGGCUAAGCGCCUCAUACGUGCUGGUGCCCAUGUCACAUUCGUCACUAGCACCUAUGCCAGUGAGCGCAUGACCAAAACCCCCACCAUGGAUGGUUUAAAAUUUGUCACAUUCCCGGACGGCUGCGACAGUGGCCUCAAGCAAAGCGAUGCCCUCCAAGGCUUCAUGUCUGAGCUUGAGCGUCUUGGCUCCCAAGCUCUUACCGACCUCCUCAUAGCCAGCGCUAAUGAAGGUCGUCCCGUUACUUGCAUAAUCUACGGCAUCCUGAUUCCUUGGGUAGCAGAGGUGGCGCAUAGUCUUCACAUCCCCUCCGCACUUUUUUGGAGUCAACCUGUCUCUGUUUUUAAUAUCUAUUAUUAUUAUUUUUGUGGCUAUGGAGAGGUCAUUCGCAAGAAAGUCAGUGACUCCUCGCCUUCCAUUGAAUUACCAGGACUGCCCUUGCUCGGUAGCCGUGACAUUCCCUGUUUCCUACUCCCCUCAAAUGCAAAUGAAUACAACUUUGUCCUUUCAGCGUUUCAGAAGCACGUAGAGAUGCUCCACCGUGACACCAACCCAACGGUACUGAUAAACACUUUCGAUGCAUUGGAACCAGAGGCCCUAAGGGCCGUCAGUAAGUUUAAGUCGAUUGGAGUUGGACCCUUGUUUCCAACCGCUUUCUUGGGUGGAAAAGAUCCAUCCGAUACUUCAUUUGGAGGUGAUCUGUUCCGUCGUUCAAAGGAUUAUAUUGAAUGGCUGAACUCAAAGCCUGAAUCUUCUGUCAUUUAUGUGUCAUUUGGAAGCCUCGCGGUGUUAUCGAAGCAACAGUCAGAGGAGAUUGCUCGUGGAUUGCUGGACAGUGGCCGGCCUUUCCUGUGGGUCAUAAGAGCCAAGGAGAAGGGAGAAGAGGAGAAAGAAGAAGAUAAACUAAGUUGCUACGCAGAAUUAGAACAACAAGGUAUGAUAGUACCAUGGUGUUCUCAGGUUGAGGUUCUCUCAAAUCCAUCACUGGGUUGUUUCGUGACUCAUUGUGGGUGGAAUUCAACCUUGGAGAGCUUGGCUUCUGGGGUGCCAGUUGUGGCAUUUCCUCAGUGGACCGACCAAUCCACGAAUGCAAAGCUAGCCGAAGACGUGUGGAAAACGGGUGUACGGGUGACCGUGAACCAAGAAGGAAUAGUUGAAAGCGAUGAGAUUAAGAGGUGCUUGGAAUUGGUCAUGGGAGAUGGAGAGGAGGCGAAAGAAAUGAGAAGGAAUGCAAAGAAAUGGAAGGGUUUGGCAAGGGAGGCUGUGAUGGAAGGUGGAUCAUCUGACAAGAAUCUUAAGAAUUUUAUGGAUGAGGUCAUACAAGGUUACUAGCUAGAUAUUGUGGUUGUAUCUCUUGGAGUUUAUGUUAAGACUCCCCGAUUAAUUUAAAUAUUUUACAAGAAGAUUUUUAUUAUUUAUGAUGUUAAUACAAGUAGUAGUAUUAAUUAAUGGUAGAGGGCAUAUCUAAAAUUAUGGGAGAUUCAUUGCUUCCUGAAGGCCCUAUCACAAAGGAUCUGUCAAAUGCGUGGCUAAGGUGCUGUUUGGUAAAUGUCCGUUACCAGCCAAAAUUUUGCAAUUAUUGCUAAUGGGAAUCAGGGAAACCCCAAACUGGCCUUGAUGGUCCUUGCGUGAAGACCCAUCCAAUUCUUUACAUUGUGGCCACUGAUUUGGUGUCUUAUCCUCUCAUGCCCAUCACUUCAUGUUUACAAAUUGAUAUUGUAUUCAUAGCUAUUUUUUAUGAAGGUUCAAUUGGCAAGAAGUAUUUUUGCCUUGGGAAGAUGUUGGUUAUGGAUUUAAAGCAAAAUAAAAGAUUAAAAAAAUGAUCCUUGUACAAAUUUUUGGGUGCCUCUAUUAAUUAAGUGAAUAUUAUUAUUUAAUUGAUAAAUUAAUAAUUUAUUAAUUUAAUUACUUAUUAAUUAGAUCUCUGGAAUAAUUCUAUUAUGGAACCUAUCUUGCACUAAGAAGCAUCCAUAGCGAUAAUAAUAUUAAAUAAAUUUUUGUUAUAGUACAAGAAUGUUACAUCAGACCUUUUUUUUUUUUUUUUUCAUAUUAGGAAUAGUUAAAGAUGAGAUUUAAGUAAACAUAAGUUUUAAGAAAAAAUAACACAUAUAUUUUACGAAGGAUUCUUGAUAAAACAUAUGAAUUUAAUUAUAUAUUAGAAAAUUAUUAAUUUUUAUAAUAUGUGGAUUUUAUAUGAAACUACAUAGAUUUUUUUUAUAAUGUAUUAUUUUAUAAAUUUAUCAAAUUAUUAGUUUAGCACGAUGACCCCAAAUUUAGAUUAAUUAAAAAAAUAUUUAAUUGAAGUUCUUAAUUAAUUAAAUAUUAAUUUAUUAUAAAGUUUUAUUGUAUUUUAUUUUCAUGUUCUGAAAACUAGUCGAUUUGAUUGGUUUGAGCAUUGAUUGACUAUGUAUUUUACAUAUGAGAUCGAUUAUGAGUUGCACUUUCAUCCCAAGGUAUUUAAAAAUUAGGAAAAUCAAUCCCAAGGUAUCUAUUUUACUUUUCUUAGUCUAUUCACCAUUGUCCAAACACUCCAUAAGUGGAAUGUAACUUGGAGGGGCUUGAAUAUGCAGAAUUUUAUAAUUUUGCACAUUAAUGUCUCAGAGUGUUAAAAUCUUUUACAACUAAUUGUAGAUAAGUUUAGUAUUGACAAAUAAUUUUAUUACAAUUAAAUUAUUUUUUAAUUUAUAAAAAGGUUAAAAUAAAGAUAUUUAAGAAAUAUAGUACCUUAACAAUUAAAAAUAACAUUGGUUGAUGAUAUCUAAGAAAUUCAAUGUUUUCUUCAACCUAAAAUGAAUAUAAAAAUUUGGUAUGAGGAUUGUUUGCUCGACUAUUGAAACUUAUUGACAACAUAGGAAGAGACAAAACUUUUGGGGAUAUAUUAAUAGAGUGAGGAAUUUGGUACUUGAUUCAUAGAGUAAAAGUUGAACAAAAGCAUCAAGAAACAUCGGGGUUGGAAAUGAUAGUGCACUUUUUAAAAGUCAUAGGUGGAAAGAGGGAAAAUUAGAACAGAUGAACCUUAAUUUUUUGGUAUUUUUGAUAGGUGUUUAGUAAAAUAAUUUAAUAUUACAAUUUAUAGUUAAAAAUGACUUAGUAUAUAAGCAGUUAAAAUGAUUUAGGGCUUGUUUGACCGUGUUUUUUAAAAUUUUCUUUUAAAAUAGAGAAUAAAAAUAGUGAACAUCAAGUUGUUGGAUGGACCAAUUUCUACUCAAUGCCAAAGACAGAACCACACGAAUAGUAGUUAGUUUAACCACAAAACUAAAGGUUUCAAGGAAAUCAAAACCGUGAGUUUGAUGAAAUCCUUUCACCGCUAAAUGUGCCUUAUAACAAUCAAUAGUUCCAUUAGGUUUAAACUUCAAUUUAUAAACCCAGUAACAUCUAAUGGUAUUCUGAUUAGACCAAGGAAGAAUGAUGACCUAUGUUUUAUUUUUCAUAAGAGCUUCAAAUUCAAGAUGCAUAGCCUAUUGCCAUUUAGGAACUUUAGCAAUUUCCUUAAAGGAAUUCAGUUCACAAAGUGGGGGAAAAAUAGUCUUAGUAGGAGACAAAAAUAACUUGAGUUCGAAAAUGCCAUUUUUGGCACGCAUUAUCAUGAGAUGACAAGUAUAGUAUGAACAUAAGAGGAAAGAGGUUGGGUUGUUGGAAUAGGUAUAACCUUAGAAAAGGAAAUUGGCACACUAGAAUUAGAUAUUGGAACCAACUUUGAAGGUGGACAUAAUGGGGGAGGUAAGAGGGAAGAUAUUGGAGAUGAUGGUACUACCAAGGGAAUGACACAAUGAGAGAGGGAAACAUAAUAAGGAGUCUGAACUAUGGAAGACUUAGCAAAUGGGAAAUCUAGUUCAUAAAAAAUAACAUGUUGUGAUAUAUGUAUUUUAUGAUUGGACAUGUUUAAAUAAAGAUAUUCUUUAUGCUUAGAACUAUAGUUGAUAUUUUAACGGAUUGAUAUGCAAGUUUAUGACAAUUAAAAGGAUGUAGAAAAGGAUAACAAAUGCAACCAUAGACAUGAAGAUAAUAAUAAUUUGGUAGACAAUGGUAAAGAGUCUUAUACGGAUCAAGAAGAGAUAUUCAACAUAGAGGUAGGAAGUCUAUUAAUCAAAUAUAAGGUAGAUUGGAAAGCAAAAGGUCAAUAUUUAAGUGGAAUAGAAGCAUGAGCAAGCAAAGAAAGACAUAUUUCAACCACAUGUCUAUGUUUUCUCUCCACAUGACCGUUUUGUUGAAAAGUAGAUGGACAAGAUACUCUAUGCAGAAUCCUAAAUUUACAUAAAGUAUCAAUAAAGGCUUGAAACUCCCCUCCCUAAUUAGUUUGAAGCACUCUAACUUUAGUGUAAAAUUGAGUCUCAAUUAUCACUUUAAAUUGCAAAAAAGCAGAGAUAGCUUGAUUUUUAGAAGCUAGUAGAUACAACCCCAAGAAAAUCUUGUAUGGUCAAUAAGAAAAAAGUACAAAGUAUCUUGCUCCAUUAGCACCAACAAUAGCGGUAGGACCCCAUAGAUCAAAAUGUAUAAGAGCAAAAGGCUAAGAGACUCUAGAUUUAGACAAAGUAAAAGGUAAGUGAUGACUCUUUGCCAUUUGACAAGGUUCACAAAUACCUAUCCAAUGUUUUGAGGGCAUACUAUAAGCACUCAAAACUUUAUUGACUAUUUUACGUGCAAGAUGACCUAAUUAAAAUGCCAUAGAACUACCUUAUUGGGAAGUUGUAAUGCAAAUAACAUACACAGGACCUCAAUUGCCAAGCUUGUUCUUCUAACAAUUUUAUUACAAUUGGAAUCUAUAUUUUUUACCAGAAGCUGAAGAUGACAAUUUGUAUAAACCAUGGUUAAGGUUGCCUUGGAGAAGAGCCUUCUUUGAAGCUUGAUCCUUCAUCACAAAUCCAUUAGUAAAGAAUUCCACAGUAACAUUAUUGUCAGUACACAACUUAUUCACACUUAUCAGAUUGGUUGUAAGUUGUGGAACAUGUAAAAUAUUCUUUAGAUUUAAAGACUGAGAAACCGACAAAAUAGUAGAGUAUCCAAUAUUUGAGAUAUUUAAGCAAUUACCGUUUCCAAUGACGACUUUGUCCAAACUAGCAAAUGGAGUAUGUGCAUUCAAGUUGUUGAAAUUUAGAGUUAGGUGAUAUGUAGCUCUAGUAUCCAUGUACCAACUUCCAUCUCCAAUAGUGGCCAGAGUUGCAAUCAUUGCAGCAAGAUGAGGUUACUCAAUUCUUAGGGUUCUUCUUUCUCAUUGGUUUUUGACUCAGAUGAGUUAACUUAGUUCCUAGAGCUCUUCCUCAAUGACAAACAAUUCUGAUUAGAGUGUGGCAAUGAGUUCAAUGAGCAAGCUGGUGAUUGGUCAAGGCCUCACCAGUGAUGAGGAUGUUGGUGAUAGCAACAAUCUAGUUGGAGAAAUGAUUUUUUCCAACACCUUCAAACACCGUAAAAAUGAUCAUAUCAUCAUCAUGAUCUUAGAUAAGAGAAACUUAAAGUUUUUUUUUUUAUUUCAAUUUCAAAUUCAAAACAAAAUUGCAGAGCACUAGAUACAAAAAAAAGAAAAAAGAAAAUAAAAGAACAAAAAAUCACUAUAGAAACCUUAGAAAACACACUAGGAAGAAAAAUCAUAGACAAACUCACAGAAGAAUUUUAUGGCUUUAGGAGUCGGAGCCGGAGCUAGAGAAGAGUCUUAAUGGACAUUGAGGAGGGACAAGAAGAGGUGUUCAACUAUAAUUUAUAUAGGCUAUAUAUAUUGUAAAUGUUGGCUUUAAAAUGUAUCUGGUAGUGACCCAAUGGAAGUGGAGUCUAUAGGAACAUCUAUGGUAGCGAUCCAAAAAUUAUUGCAGUUAUAGGAGAAUAUAUAAUAGCACUUUCAACAGUAAUCGUGACUAUGUAUAUUUCCUGGAAAAUUUCCCACCAAUCCCAAUCUCAAUCCCUUUAGAUGCAUGUGGUUGGAAUAUGCAUGAGGCCAUAUAUUAUGCGGUUGGGAUAUGAAUGAGGCUAUAUAAUAUUUUUAGUUGUGGAUUUUCUUAGCCCCUACUAAAACUAUAUUGCCAUUUCCUAUUCUUCUUGUAAUGUCAAGUUGGAAAGUCAAACUUAAUUUAAAAACUUUUUAAAUAUUAAACUUAGAGUUAGAGUUAGGUGGUGUUUGUUUUUUUUUUUUGUUGAAAACAAUUUGUUUUCAGAAUUUAAGUCGUUUGUUUUUCUAUUUUUUCAUGACUUAUUAUAUACUUUUUACCAAACAGAAAAAACCAAAAUAUGUAGUUUUUUCUAAAUAGAAAAAAUAAUAUGUUCAUUUUUUUUACUUUUUAAUACUUAAUAGAAAUAAAAUACUACAAAAACAAACAACCUAAUAUUUAACAUUAUUAAGUAUUAAGGUUCUAUUUAGAAUUAAAUAAAAAAAAAUAAAUGCCACAUUAGUUUCUAAAUGUUAAGGAGAACAUUUUAUUUUGAAUGAUUAUUUAGUGUUUGUAUUUGAGUAGUUAAGUCGUCAAAGGUCUCUGUAUUUGAUUAUUAAGAGUUUCUAUUUGGAUAAAUGUGAGUAUAUUUAUAAACAAAAAUUCAUAUAUAUAAUAUAUAUAUAUAUAUUUUAAAAAAGCAAUAGAAUACAAUAAAUUUUUAAUUCUCUCCUAUUUUAUCUUUUUUAUAAGUGUGUGUUUCUCUUUCAUCUAGACAACUCACACAAUACUAACACAAUGAGAGUAAAAGGAGAAGGGCAACAAAGAGUUGGAGCCGGAGAUCAUUGGAGGAACGGGUCAACUGUAGGCCGGUUGUCCAUGGGCUCAUAUAAGUAACAAAAAUUGGAAAUGGUUUCUAUAUCUUAGUGUCGUCUAGAAGACGACAAUCUACCUGUCAGUGUGCAGCAGAAGAGAAAGCGUGAUAUCUACUUCGAGUCAAAACAAAAGGGAACCAGCUCGCAAUUCCUCCGAUACAUCAUUACCGACGUCAUAGCUCUAUUCCCCCAAUUCGUCACUACCAACUUCAUUCUAUCUCCAUUACGCAUUAUUUAAAGAGUCCCCAUGCAGAUGCUGUUCGAAACACAAGUCAGCUUUGACACAACCCCACGUCAUUGUGAUAACCCAUCCGGCACAGGUCCCUGUCCAAAGACCCAUCUUACUCUUUACAUUGUGGCCACUGAUUUAGUAUCUAAUCUCAGGCAAAAUUCACUGGUUUGAUGAAGGUUAUAGAACAAAACUUGUGUUAUUCUUAUCUUUGUUUUUGAUGAACUUUAAAGCAUUUAAAAAGAUUCAACUGGUAAGAAGUAUUUUUGCCUUGGGAAGAUGUUGGUUAUGGAUUAAAAGCAAAAAAGACCCUUGUACAUAUUUUUGGGUACCUGUCAAGCAAAUUAAUGCACAUCCGAACAUCACAACUGUUGUCUCUUAAAUUCUUCCAAUUGACCUGCUUUCGUCUUAUUGAGCGUCUGGGUUACUUGAUAAUGCAAAAACUCAUACAGUUAUUUCGAUAAAUUAAGAGCCUCAGGCAUCAAGGAAAAUCUAUUAUUACUUAAUCGAUAAAUUAAUAAUUUAUUAAUUUAAUUGCUUAUUAAUGAGAUCUCUUGAAUAAUUCUAUUAUGGAACAAGACACCAUAACAAUAUUAAAUAAAUUUUUGUCACAGUGUAAGAAUGCCGCAAUAGAUGUAAUAUGAGAAUGUGAUAUUUAAUUAUGGGCCUCCGCUUAAAAUAAGUAAAUAAAUAAUUAAUAAUUAAAAUUUAAAUAAAAUAAAUAAUUAAUUAAUAAUUAAAAUACAAAUACUAGACUCACAUUCUGAGCAGCCGCUUCUAAACUCUUAUACGCUACAAAAAAACAUACACAAAGAAAUCUAGGAUUCUAGAUUUAAGUGAAGAGAAAGAGGAUUUGAUCUUUUUGUUCUUUCUCGAAAAUUUCAUGGUAAGUGAUACUUCUUAAAGAUUUUUUUUUUCAGUUUUUCUUCUUAGAAACUUUAAUUUCCUAAUAAGAUUCAGAAAUAAUUAAUAAAAACAAGAAAUUAAGAAAUACAUUGAAAGUAAUUAAAUCUAAUAUGAUAGAAACCUAAUAAUAAUAAUAAAAAUAAUAGAAAGUUUGAUGUAUUAUUUCUGAUACCUAAAGGAAAAUUCUAUAUGAAAUUGUGGAGUUAAUGUUUUUUUUUUUAAAUAUAUAAUAAUAACAAAAAACAAUAGAAAGUUUGAUGUGUUAUUGCGUAAACCUAGAAGAAAAUUCUAUAUGAAAUAGUGGAGUUAAUGUUUUUAAAAUAUAUAUAUAUAUAUAUACUAGAAAUUCUUAUGUGUAGGAGAUAAGAAUUCUAUUGGAGGCCUCCAAUUUUAUUAUGUUAGGAUUCCAUAAUGAAUUAAAUUAAAUUAAAUUAAUAUAAUUUAGAUUAGAUUAAUUAUAACUGUGGGAAUUGAAAAGCUUAGGAUGACAAUUAAGAAAUGGAAAUAUGAUAUUUUUUCUAGAUAAAUGAAUAAUUUAUAUAUAUGUUAAAAAACUAUAUAUAUUUAGAAUAUAAUUAUUAUUAGAACAUUAGUUUAAAGAACCCUUAUAAUUUCUCAGGUAAUUCAAAGGAAAUUCUACCGCUUUAAUAUUUGGAGUUUAAGUCCAAUUAAGGGGACAAAUUAAAAAAUAUUUAAGUAUAAUUUUCUUUUGAAAGUUUCAAGAAAUUGGGAAAUAAUUUUGUUAUAAGGUAUAUGUUUGCUUAGAUGUGUGAUAUGAAUUUUUUUUUGUUUAAAAGAAAAAAAAAAUAGGACUAGUAAUCUAAUCCCUGUUAAUAAAGGAAAGUGUUUUGACUUUGGGUCAUAUAAAGUAACUAAAUUGGAAAAUGGUCUCUAGAUCUUAACUUUGGGUCGCGACUAGAAGACGACAAACUACCGGUCAGUGUACAGCAGAAGAUAAAGUGAGACAGGAUACUUAUACAUCUCUUGAAAUUAAUUUGUCUUUGGUCAAAACAAAGAGGAAGCAGCUCACAAUUCCUCCAAAACAUCAUUGCAAACGUCAUAGCUCUGUUUCCCCAAAUUCGUCAUUCCAUACUCUGCCUUCCUUAUUUAAAGAGUUCCAUGCAGAUGCAGAUGCAGUUCGAAACACAAGUCAGAUUUGAUCAUCCUCUGCAUAGACCCAACCGAAGUAUCUCCACUUCAUCUUCUUCCCCUACAAUGACACAACCCCAUUUCAUUGUGAUAACCUAUCCGGCACAAGGCCACAUCAACCCUUCUCUCCAACUGGCUAAGCGCCUCAUACGUGCUGGUGCCCAUGUCACAUUCGUCACUAGCACCUAUGCCGGUGAGCGCAUGGCCAAAACCCCAACCAUGGAUGGGUUAAAAUUUGUCACAUUCCCGGAUGGCUGCGACAGUGGCCUCAAGCAAAGCGAUGCCCUCCAAGGCUUCAUGUCUGAGCUUGAGCGUCUUGGCUCCCAAGCUCUUAUCGGCCUCCUCAUAGCCAGCGCUAAUGAAGGUCGUCCCGUUACUUGCAUAAUCUACGGCAUCCUGAUUCCUUGGGUAGCAGAGGUGGCGCGUAGUCUUCACAUCCCCUCCGCACUUUUUUGGAGUCAAC
rnacentral:lncRNA from 1 species